rnacentral:rRNA from 1 species
UACGUAGGGCGCGAGCGUUGUCCGGAUUUAUUGGGCGUAAAGAGCUCGUAGGCGGCUUGUCGCGUCGACUGUGAAAUCCCGCGGCUCAACUGCGGGUCUGCAGUCGAUACGGGCAGGCUAGAGUUCGGUAGGGGAGACUGGAAUUCCUGGUGUAGCGGUGAAAUGCGCAGAUAUCAGGAGGAACACCGGUGGCGAAGGCGGGUCUCUGGGCCGAUACUGACGCUGAGGAGCGAAAGCGUGGGGAGCGAACAGG